GUCAAUACAGUGUAGUGGUUAGCACAUUCAACUAGGACUGGGGGGGGGGUCCCAGGUUCAAAUCCCUGUUCAGCCA